ensembl:lncRNA
GAGCUACAGGACAGUUAGGCUGGAGAUUCCUGCAGCCUGGUGGAAGUCCCAUUGGCUUUCUCCAUUGUCUUUCUCUAUUGGCUUUCUGCACAUACUGGAACACAGUGCUUUGGUGGUGGCAAAAAAACACAUGAUACAGCUGUGCUGCCGACCGUGCUGCAGGUGGCGAUGCUGCACCAGGACUGUGCCGAGAUUCAGCUCCAGAAAAUCAAGAAUUUUACGAAAAUAGCAAAGCCUUUUGGCCUCUCGUACAGGAGAUAGGAGUGCACCCAGCAUGGUACCGGUUAAUAUUGUCUUAGAUGAUGGUUUGGGAAUACUAAUGGGAGGUAAGAGCUGUGGACUGAGCUGUAUUUCAGCACAAGCAGAGCCCUUUAACCAGCAAACUUGUUCUGGGAAAGUUUCCAGCUCCAACCAUCUCUUGCGUUGUGGGGUGUGGGAUCUCAUGCUAGGAGCAUCAAAGAAGUCUCGGGAGACGUUUCAAAAGAGGACAGGAGCCUGGGAGGGAGACUUAAAAAUCCUGGCUCCGGUACAAAUAAAAUACACUUCAGUCUCAAAUUAAUGUAAAAUAUUAGGGAACUGUCUCUCAGAGAUUAUUCCCAAUGUGGAGUUAAAAUACAAACAUCCAAACAAAAAGGAAAAGCUGGCUGGUGUCCACAAAGAACAAGUGGUCUGGUUCUGAACCCCUGAGCGAUGAUAAUUCUCCAAAACUCACCUCUUUGGGUAGAUUCCACUUUGCAGGUUUUAUCUGCAUUGUCUGUUUAAAGAAAAUAAAAUAAAUAGGGCUGCUUUGAAAUAUUACAGGUAUCUGAGAAGAACAAGAACUUCUCCUUUGACCUAGAACACCAAUUCAUGGAAGGGAGGCUUUGUUUAGAAACUUUGUUUUUCCUUCCAGAAAUUGGACAAAUGUAUGUUGCCAAGAGUGGUCAGCUGGAGAUAUUUGGACACUUGAAAAGAUCCUCAGAAACUGCUUUUGGAGGACUUUGAGCCCGUGCUGCAAGGGGUACCAGCAGCCAUCAGGAAGUUUGCAGAUUUGUGGCCAGCGCUCUCAUUUCUUGGUGCAACGUCAACCAUGCAAAUACCAGGAUCAUCCAGGCACACGGCUGAAAGACGACCCGAACGCAGCGCUCCCUGUGCUGUGUGCGGAGCAGCCCCGCGGCUCGGAGCGGACUCGUUGCGGUGGGACCCGUCCGCCCUUCGGCCCCGCUCCCCUCUGGGGCCGAGCGGCGUGCGGCCAACAGCCAGAGCCGUUCGCAACCCGCUGCCGUCAGCUCGCGGCUCCGCGCGGCCGUCUCGUUGCGCUGAUUGAUACGCGGGGGGCCGGGGCCGCUUCCUCCUCCCGCCGUCCUUUUCCUCCCGCCUCGCUCCCGCAAGGAGCCGGCUCGGAGCAGGGGGCGACGCCCGCGAAGCCGCGACCCCCCCCGGCCCGGCCGGGCCCGUCGCUCAGCGUUCAGCCCCCGCCGCUCACGGCCGCGCACCGCAGUUUCCUCGGCGGCGGCGGGGCGGAGCGCCGGCCGCGCUCGCUCCGGGCACGGACCCCUUCCUACGGGCACCGCUCACCGUGUGACCGCCCGUCUCUCCCCGCCCGGCGGCAGCGCCGCGUCCCCCGCAGCCCGGAGCGGGAGCGGCCGGUACGGAGAUGGAGGCGGCGAGGCCGGGGGCCGCCCGCGCACAAAGCACGCACCGCACCACGCGUCCGUGCGUUUUGUAAAAACGUUUAUUUAAAUCUUUUUUUUUUUUUUUCUUUUACGUUGAUUUUUUUUUUUUUUUUUUUGGAAUUUUUCCUUUUACAACAACAAAAUAUUGCGUCGGUAGAAACCCCUCCGCCCGAGCCCGGCCAGCACCACCCGUACAGCGACUGCCCCGUGUGCGGCCCCGCACCGCUGGGCCCUCUGCUGCCUUCGGCUUUGGGUUCUAUUUUUUUUUUUUUUUUUUGUUAUUUUUUUGUUUUUCUUUCUGAAACUUUUUUUUUUUUUCUUUAAACAUAAUGCGGAAUUUAUUGAAAAUAAAUAAUUGUUGGCAACUGCA